AUUGAACGCUGGCGGCAGGCCUAACACAUGCAAGUCGAGCGGAUGGAGGGAGCUUGCUCCUGGAUUCAGCGGCGGACGGGUGAGUAAUGCCUAGGAAUCUGCCUGGUAGUGGGGGAUAACGUCCGGAAACGGGCGCUAAUACCGCAUACGUCCUGAGGGAGAAAGUGGGGGAUCUUCGGACCUCACGCUAUCAGAUGAGCCUAGGUCGGAUUAGCUAGUUGGUGGGGUAAAGGCCUACCAAGGCGACGAUCCGUAACUGGUCUGAGAGGAUGACCAGUCACACUGGAACUGAGACACGGUCCAGACUCCUACGGGAGGCAGCAGUGGGGAAUAUUGGACAAUGGGCGAAAGCCUGAUCCAGCCAUGCCGCGUGUGUGAAGAAGGUCUUCGGAUUGUAAAGCACUUUAAGUUGGGAGGAAGGGCAGUAAGUUAAUACCUUGCUGUUUUGACGUUACCAACAGAAUAAGCACCGGCUAACUUCGUG
rnacentral:rRNA from 1 species